AUCAGUCUCCAUGCAUACAUAACCAUUUUUCCAUAGCAUGAAAUACGAUGAGACUGCCUUUUUUCAUGGAGAUAUUCAUUAUUGCGACAUGAGAGCUAUGGAAUCUAAGGAAUGGUAAAAUAUUUGAAGACAACAGUACAACCUUAGGGCUUUGGACUGUGAGGUUCAAGGAACAAAUCAUCCUACACAUGCAUCGUGUCAAGGACGAUCUUAGACCAACAGUUUCACAAUGGCUAGAUAGCUUGAUGUAACUCUCCCACCCUUUCUCUCUCCCCCUAUGUAAGUAUCCC
rnacentral:lncRNA from 1 species